CUACGGCCAUAUCACGUCGAAACACCGGUUGCCGUACGAUCGCCGAAGAUAAGAAAUGUCGAGCCUGAUCAGUACCUAGAUGGGUGACCGCUUCGGAAUACCAGGUACUGUAAG